AGAAAUAAUGUAGACAGGAUUGAAUCUCAAUAUCAAUCUCAUGGCAAUGACUGAAUGUCCCCCCCUCAACUUUAAGCAACUAAUCUAGUGCGUAAUUGGCAUCUACUAGGGCCAACUAUGGGGUUCACAGAUUUGUUUUGCCUAAUUCAAACAUCUUUCAUUCUUUCAAGUCCCUAGCCUCAACCGGACUAAUUUUGAAAUCUUAUGCAUAAUUUUCUCUUUUUCUCAUGUAUGUAUGUUACUAUGUACUAUGUAGUACUCCAUGUCUAUCAACAAGGUUGCAACACAGGUUUUGGAGGAGAUAGCAAAAAGUAAAUCUAUGUUGAGAUAAUCAAACUCAAGUCAUCCAAAACCGAGCUAGGUCUUCAGAAGUUAAUCUUGAUGAUUAUGAGAAAGAGUCAGCUUGGAGAAUUACAAUAUUGGGGGCCGGGUCUAAUAUGGAAGCAUUCAAGCACUUUUCUUUAACUGGUAAAGGCUUGUAAGUUGUAACCGUAUCAAAUGCUAAGAUAUCAUCCCAGUACUGCAUUUCUUAAUUGCCAAAAAAAUACAAAUGAGCAACAAACAGACAAGAAGAAACAGCAUGAAAUGGAAUACCUGAAAACAGGUGGCAUCCACAAGAGCAAAGAGAGAGAUUGAGAACCAAGCAUUGAACCCCGAAGGCAAACGCCUACCCUUUGAGGCUGCGAACCCAAUCAGCAACAAUCCAGCCGGAAUAAGCCGAAACGAGGCGAUAAAAAAAGGACCCACUUUCGGCAAAACCUCCUUCAUGGCAACCAUUGCAGUUCCCCAGAAGAAAAAGGGCGAAAUCAACACUGCCCAUUCCCACAAAUUCCCCACUAACCCUAAAUCAAACCCUAAUUCCUCUUCACUUCUCUCUGAAUUCUCGUUAAUUAUGCAUUCUACUUCCGUCCCUGUUCCUAUACAUUCAAUUUCGGACUGCUGAAACUCUGAUUGCUCAGAAACGUCAUCAGUUUCCGUCGAUUUUGUUCGUCUGACGAAUACCCGAAUUCUGGAAGAUUUUGUUUCAAUGUUUGAGAUAUUUGAUGAGGGUUUUGUGCUUAGGGUUGUUCGAAAUUGAAUUGGGUUGUGAAAUUUUGGUUUGAAAUUGUGGGAUUUUGAUGGGCUUGGGACAUGGUAGUGGGUGGAGGAGAGUGGU